UAGUUGCCCCCCCCAAGUUCCAGGGCCUGCUAACCACCACAUAGGACCAGCAUUGCCGCCACACUCCACAGAUUCUCAGUUUUAAUACUUGUACUGGCUUGUCAAUCCUAGAAAAAAAACUUAGGGAGGGAGGGUGAGAGACAAUCACAUUGUAGUAAUGAUGCCGCUCUGUUUACUACAACUCUAAGUACCCUUGCUAUCCUAGUCCCACCCAUAGAUUUUCCCUCCUUUCUAACAGCCUAUUGUUUUCCAACAGAAAACCCCCCAGACUGGUCUCACCACCUCCCCCAGCAGCCAGCCCAUUGCUUACAAACAAGAAACCCCCAGACUGGUGUCGUCUGGCAUGUUACUACACACGGCCCUUAUUGGGCUUCAGUCAAGUUUCUUAUUAAGAUUUUAGAACGAGCGAUUCGUUCUUUCAGUCUUCUUUUUCUACUACGCAGUACAGCCUCCACACUGUAUCCAAGCAACAACUAGCAGCCAGACAAUCACCGCCCUUCCACUCGUCACACAGCUCCCCCCCCCUCUGACCGCAUUGCAUUGUGGGACACAAACAAACUGAUGAGCUCUACUCCCCUCGUCCCCCACCACUGAGAAGUGGAAUAUUCCGAGCGCUUGGGCCUGUGUGCUCGGUUGCGUAGGCACACGCAGUCGUAAGCACUAGAGACGGCGUGGACCAAUUGCCCAACAACAAAGGGGGGAGGAAAUCGAUGAGUAAGAGAGGAGGUCGCAGCGCAGCUAGAGUGUAAGGUAAAAACAAGUGUCUCUGCAUGCAACUAGGUGCUAUUAAUGGCCUUCCAGAGAGGCCUAUUUCCCGCUCCCGUGUCUUGGACUGAGACAGCAGCAGUCACUCACUUGCAUAAAGCGGCAACCCCAGCAGCAGGCCUCAAAAAGCCCAAAACGUAAGACUGAGGGCUGCUGUAUUCUGUUUUAAAAAGUGGCUGAGUUGAAAGUCAGAAUGGGUGUGAAGACAUUUACUCACAAUUCACCUGGACACAGCCAGGAAAUGCUGGGAAAGUUGAACAUGUUGCGUAAUGAUGGACACUUUUGCGAUAUCACCAUUCGUGUGCAGGACAAAAUCUUUCGUGCUCACAAGGUGGUCUUGGCAUCGUGUAGUGAGUUUUUCCGAACCAAGCUUGUUGGUCAAGCAGAGGACAGUAGCCAGUGUGUUCUUGACUUGCAUCAUGUCACCGUGACAGGCUUUACCCCACUCUUGGAAUAUGCAUACACUGCAACAUUAUCUAUCAAUACUGAAAAUAUUAUUGAUGUUUUAGCUGCUGCAAGUUACAUGCAGAUGUUCAGUGUUGCAAGUACAUGUUCCGAGUUCAUGAAGUCCAGUAUUUUAUGGAACACACAACAAGAAAAGAUUCUCGAUACAGGACAGGAAAACCCUGUUAACUGCAAUAACUUUAGGGAUGGUAGCCUUUCACCAGUCUCUUCAGAAUGCAGCGUUGUAGAGAGAACAAUUCCCAUCUGUCGGGAAUCCCGUCGUAAGCGGAAGAGCUACAUUGUUAUGUCACCUGAGAGUCCACUGAAAUGCAAUACACAAACAAGCUCUCCACAGGUUUUAAACCCUACGCCUUCCUACGCAGAGGCAAGGAAUCAAUCGGUAGACUCUUCCCUUGCUUUCCCUUGGACUUUCCCCUUUGGCAUUGAUCGAAGGAUACAGUCUGAAAAAGUAAAGCAAAUUGAGUCCAGAACAUUGGAACUACCUGGACCUUCUGAAGUUACUAGGAGGGUAACAGAUUAUGUUGCCUGUGAAAGCACUAAAGUGAGUUCUCCCUUGGUUAUGGAGGAUGAUGUUAGAGUCAAAGUUGAAAGGUUAAGUGAUGAGGAGGUGCAUGAAGAGGUGUCUCAGCCUGUGAGUGCAUCUCAAAGCUCAAUGAGUGACCAGCAGACUGUCCCUGGAAGUGAGCAAGUUCAAGAGGACUUGUUAAUCAGCCCACAGUCGUCUUCCAUAGGUUCUAUUGAUGAAGGAGUCAGCGAGGGAUUACCCACACUCCAAAGUACUGCCAGCACCAGUGUUCAUGCAGAUGACGAUGAUAGACUGGAAAAUGUUCAGUAUCCUUACCAGCUUUACUUGGCUCCUUCCACAAGCAGCACGGAACGCCCAAGCCCAAAUGGUCCUGAUAGACCUUUUCAGUGCCCCACCUGCGGUGUACGCUUUACACGGAUCCAGAAUUUGAAGCAACACAUGCUCAUACAUUCUGGAAUCAAACCAUUUCAGUGUGACCGCUGCGGGAAAAAAUUCACUCGGGCUUACUCGCUAAAGAUGCAUCGGCUGAAACACGAAGGUAAACGCUGUUUCCGGUGCCAGAUAUGUAGUGCAACAUUCACUUCCUUCGGGGAAUACAAACACCACAUGAGGGUUUCCCGGCACAUUAUCCGCAAGCCUCGGAUAUACGAGUGCAAAACAUGCGGCGCCAUGUUCACCAACUCUGGAAAUUUAAUCGUGCACCUGAGGAGCCUGAACCACGAAGCGUCAGAGCUAGCAAACUACUUCCAGAGCAGCGAUUUCCUAGUGCCGGAUUAUUUGAGCCAGGAGCAGGAAGAGGCCCUUGGGCAGUACGAGCUGGCAGAACAUGGCUUUGAAAGCAACUCCUCUGUCCAAAUGCCUGUUAUCUCCCAGGUUUCCUCAACACAGAACUGUGAAAGCACUUUUCCCCUGGGACCUGUGGGAGGGUUUGCAGAGAAAGAAGAGGAUGAAGAAGAAAUAGCAGAGCCUUCGAAGCCAAGCCCAGCUGAGGAAACAAACAUUGAAGAUCCACCAAAGACAGAGGUGGCUUCAAUUGCUGUUGAAUAGCUAAAAACUGACCCACGAUAUCUUCCCUGCACCCUGACUUUAUUCAGCUUUAUUUUGUUUUUGUAUUGUUUUUUGCUUGUUUAUUUUUUUCCUCUGCUUUCUUUGGAAGUUACCUGAGUUUGAUCAGUUUAUUAUUUACUUAGUUUUGGAGGAAACAAAAAUAAGCAACUGGGGACACUGGCAUACUACAUACUCUGUUUUCAUAUCAUUUACUUUCAUUAGUGCUAACAUUAGCUGAAAACUGCAAAUAUAUUACUUUUAAUGGUAUCUCCAGUAGGGCUUAUGGCAGAUAGACACUAAUUCUGCUUCAAAAUGUCAAGAGUUGAUCAUUUUAACAGUUAACAUACUGUCUAAUGGUUGAGUAAUUGUAUUUUCUCUGGUUUUUGCUCCAUACACGGUAAUGUUCUUUUUACACAAAUGUUACAGCUAUAUAGAUAGCUUCUUUAUUUUAAUACAUUGUCUACUGAAGGUUCCUGAAAAGGAAGAGGUGAAAUAUAUAUUAAUGUGAAUUGGUUUCCAGUACAGUUAAAGUAUAUCUGUAUUACUGCUUUUGUGUAAGUGCCGUGCUGGAGAGCUGGAUUAACCAAGGCAUUUCCAACAUUUUACAUGCCGUUUCAGGGCAUGAAUGUUAUUAUGGCAAAAUCAAGACAUGUGUAAGUUUAAAAAUAAUGACUGCAGGUUUUGGAGUGCAUGUUCUGCACAUUAGAGGAGCUUGAAUACUGUUUUUUUUUUUUUUUUUUUUUAAACUGUUUUAGUUUACCCUUUUACUGCAAUGCUAGGUAUCUUUUAAUUAUCAUAUAGGAAGCUUGACGUUUUAAACUGAUUGAAGUGUUUUUUAUUUUUCAUUUUGUGGUCCAUGGUGGCCUUAAUUCUCUAUUUAGAACUUGUAAAGGUUUUGGUACUGAGGUUAUUUAAUACCUCCGGCGUUAUUUUAACCAGUUUUAACAGUUGGCUUCCUUAUGGGUUAACGGUUGGAAUUUUAUGACCAAACAUUUACACCAGCAAUCAGAAGAAUAUUGUUGAUACCCUUACUACUACUACUACUAUUUUAAUACAGUCUUUUGUUUUAUCUCAUAUCACCUACCUAUUAUAUAUUGUGCCAUUUUUUCAGAUUGCUUUACAAAGACAAUGAACAUUUGCAUUCAUUCAAAAGGUUGGCAGCAGCUUUCUUAAAUCAUAUACAAGCAUCAAGCACAAGGCACUUGUCAAAAAAUGGCCAGUAUAGAAAACAGUAAUCAUCAUGCUAAAUGUUCCAGUGUGGGUGAGCAAGGCUUGCUGAUGAGCACAGCAAAGAAUUUGUUCCACUUGUGCCGCACGAAUCACCACACAUCGGUUAGUGGCAUCAAAUAAUCUAUUGUUUCUGGCUGUAGUUCUGUAGUGUUUAUAAAUGGUCAAUACAAUUUAAUGCAACACUGUAUGCAUUAGUUGCAUUUGCAUGGAUUCUGACAGAAUGAAUAGGCUACAGUCUGGUUUAUUUGCAGACCUAAACACUGGUGGCAAUUCAGACAAAAUCAGCUGGACUACAGUCAUUUAUGACUGCAAGCUCAGCUACAAAGGCCACCAUCAGCUUUGUGUAAAAUUGCAGCUUGCUCCUAAAGUUGUGUAUUUGAAGCAGGGGAGCAAUGGAGCUACUGCCACCUGCGAACCACAGUGACUUGCACACCUCCAGAAUGCAGUUGCACUAAAAAAAUAGGGCUCAUAAGUCACUCUUCUAUAUUGCUAUAUUACUUGCAGUUGUAAAUGUUCCCUUCCACUGGAAUCAUGGGGGGGGGGAGUUGCUGAUUUGUGUUUUAAAACAGAAUGGUGAUUCCACUUGAAACUGCACUUAUCCCACUGCACUUGCGGUCAUAAAAGACCCCUAACUUGUUUCUUUGGAAGAGACUACUAAAGAAAUAAAAUUGUCUCUUCCGAUAAAAGCUAAAAUCAAUCAUGUUUAUUUUUAAUUGUUAAUAAAAUAUUAAUUGAUGCAGAACACAACUUUUAAAUGGAUGUCAUUACACAAAAUCUCCUUCUCUUCAUUUAACUGAAAAGACUGCCAAAGUCAAGUCUCAGAUUGAGGUUUCUUAUUCAUAUUUGGCAUUUAGAAAGAGUGCUAUUUUUCUGAGCAUUUUUUCUGCUCUUCCUUUUUAGGUAAUGGCAAAUGUGGCAGAUCCUAUGCCACCAGAGAAAUGCCAAAGACAUGAUACUGUACCUGCCUCCUAAAAUGUACUUCAGUUGCAUCUUCUUGUCGCUGUACACAUGAGGAGGAUUUUGUGUGCAUUUUUGGAUGGAAAACCACCACGUGUGCAGCAUGACAGGUGGAUACAAUGGAAGUGAAUGGCAGGAGGCAGGGUCAGUGUUGGGUGGUCACUGGUGUCUCUGCAGCAGCAGAAACUGUAGAGGUAAACAAUUCAGUCAUCACUCAUAUUUACAAACUGAGGUGUAUGCCUUUCAUAAAGACUCCUAUCAAUCAUAUGUGGUAACAGAAAAAAAGACUGUUUUAAUAGAACGUUUCUUGAAAUAUUUUCGUUUCAAGACUAAGGUUUCUCUUCUGCUACUCUAUGUAGAAUGUAUUUUUAUAGCCAAUAAUUAACGAAAGUCAGAAUUUACAGAACCAAAUUUUUUUUUAAGCAGUAGUAUUUGUUCUUUAUUGUGUAACUGAGAAAGCUUUCUUCCAUGUGAAUUCCUGCUUUCUAUAUGUUUUCAGCUUUCCAGGAUACAGUGACUUAAGAAUCACUAAGAAUCGCUAUUUUCGACAUGUUGUAAGAUGAUACAGAAGUUUGGUGAUCUAUUUAUUCCUAAUAAAAAUAACAUUUCUUCAGACUUGCCAGUGCAGUACAGGGGAAAGGAUUUGGCAGGUAGGUACCCCCUCAGGAAUUAGAAACACCUGGUUUUAAUGAUAAAGGCAGUCAUUAGGGAUUUGCUAAAACAAGCUGAAUAUUUGGGUGUGACACGAUCAUUUUUUUGUUUGUUUAGACAUAUUUUUGAAGCUGUGAUUUCAGAAUAUACUUCUAUUUGUAUACCACCUCAAUUCACAAAGCAGAUAUUGAAUGGCCUCUAUCCUAUAAGAGCUCUGUAGGCAUCUAAAGCUAGAGUUGUGUUUCUGAAUUAGACAAAAUGAGGGCUAAAGUUGGAAUAAAAGGCAAUAUGCAAAAACACUUCUUGAUGUUGUUGCCCAGAAUGCAACAUUUUAGCCCCAUAAUUUCAGUGUUACAGUGAGCACCUCACUUAAAAAGUUUGCACCAACGUUUACACAUAUUUUACCAUUGUGAAUGCUAAGUUAAGUGCACAUUUUUUUUUAGUUGAGGCAAUUAGUGCAGUGCACCAAAAUGGAUAUUAUAUGCAUCAUUAGUAGCAAGUUUGUGUAAACACAACAAGGCAGGAGUUAUUUCUAUGGUCUUUGCAAAUAUAUUAGUGUAGGGAUGGAGGUAUUGGUACUGGCCUCUUCCCUUGCCAGUGCAAGUAUCCCAUAAAUAAUAACGCCAAUACCUAAAGUUCAAAAAGUGAGGUGUUCCCAAUUUUACUGCCGUGCUCUGGACACACAGGAGUGGAUAAAACAUUUCAGGGUAAUAGUAUGCCCUUCCUCAAGUGAUAACCCACCAUAGAGAUUUACAUUGCUUAUAUACUGUUAAUUACAUUGACACCUAGUGGAAUAUCCUCAUAGUGCAUACAUUGUUACAUAAUAUACAAUAAGCCACAGUCCAAUUAAUAGUCCAAGCUUCAUACCAUUGGUAUCAACAAUUUUACAGGCGCUCUUCUGAGCACUUUUACAAAUGUAUGUUACUUUUUAAAAUAUCUUUAGCUUUCCUUAUACAAACCGUUUUCUACAACAUCAUGAUUUUAUACAGCAGCUCUGCCUUGCUGUGCUGGUUGACCGCCAAAGGGUUAAGGUGGCCAUAGACUUUACAAUUACGAUCUUUCCAGAAAAGAUCUUUGGUUUCAAUUCACAAGUGUAGAGCUGAAUCGUCAGAUAUACAGGUAGAAACAAUAGAAUUCUACCUGUAUCUGACAUUUUAGCACUAACAAUGGCCGAUAUUCAGGUGCCUUCAAAGGCAUCCAAUCAAGCCCGAUCGGCGAGUUGACCGAUAUCCAAGUCUUCUGCCGAUAUCGGUCGGUUUGUCUCCCACCAUGCAUGCACCAAAUAUCGUAUGAAAAUUAGUUUUGUAUGAUAUUGGUGUUUCUAUGGCCACCUUUAAAUGGCUGAUGUAGGCAAAAACUACAGAUGCUAUUGCGCACAGUUCUCACCAUCCUCAUUACUUUGUUUCAACUUUAAAGCUGACAUGGAAAUAUUAAACUGGUGCAAAGACAGCAGAGCUCAUUUACGGCCUGCAGGGUAGCAGAAUUGCUGGAAACAGAGACCUAUGUUUGCUCCAUUAAUACAACACUGCUGUGCUGUUGCACCUCCUUAAUGGUCUUGCACUUUUGUCUGGGGUCAGUAAAUUACCCCUACAGUCUACAAUCAUUUAACCCUCUGGCCUGAAAAAAAAUACAAUUCUCUCCCUCUCACAUAGGAGAAAAUACAAUCCACAGUCAAUUUACAUUCUAUAAACUAAAAAGUAAAUGCCGCUCCUCCAUUGCACAGUUGUACCUGUCAUUGGCAUGUGUAGCUCCUGUAGGGGGUAGGUGCAAUGUGGGCAAAAAAACUUCUUGACUCCUGUUUUUUUUUUGGGUGGGGGAGGGGUUGCUCCUGUAAUACGUUGUGUAAUAAAUAAUGAAAAAGCUGUUUAUGGCUUGCAGCAACGAAAAAAAAAAAAAUAUAUAUAUAUAUAUAUAUAUAUAUAUAUAUUUAUAUACAUGUUAAUAGUUUUUUGUUGUUGACUAUAUUCAUGCUAUGAGUUGUGUAAUCCUAGUUUUUUCUUGUAUUUAACAACACAAACCACAUCUGAUAAAGUAGCAGAAUAUUUGCAACCAGGGUCUUCAUUUAUAUAGGUGUAAGUGAAAAACACUUUUAUCUACUAUUACCAUCUACAGUAACCUGGUGAUUUGUCUCAGAUUUUUUUCUCUAAUAAACAAAUUGGCGGUAUACAUAACUUUCUACAUCAUUUCUAUGCAUAUUCAUCUUUUUAUUCCAUUAAUUUCCAUUUAUUUUUCCAGUGUAUUUUAUAAAAUAUUUGAAUGCCAUUCUAGCAAAGCCUGUCUGUGAUCAUCAGGUUUGUGGGUUCUGGGAAAGAAAGAUAAUGCUGUAAAAUUGACAUCUCUCUACUUUUUAUGGUUUGCAGGGUGUGGUGAUCUCAAAGCUCUGUGGUCCAUAGAUCUUUGUGCAUUUGUGGCAGUUGGAUUAACAAAUAAAGUUUUUCUCUAGAAAAGCCUUGUUAUAUGUUAAAUGGGAUAUGUCAUAGACUUUCGUUUUUGUAAAGUAUGCCAUUUGCCUUGUCAGGCUGAGGACACUAUUACCUGUAACCUCCUUGGGUAACAUUAUAUUUGCAAAGAUCAGAUGCUAGAACAAUCUACAAAAUAAACAGAACUGUAAUCAUUAUGAUGAUCCAUAUCUUUUAGUUUAGAAUGUUUUCUAACAAGGUGCCUAGUAAGCAAAUACAAAUUCGUAAUGUUUUUUUUUUUUUUUCAAAUGCUGCCAUGCUUACCUAAUAUAUUUUAAGUGUUUUUAUUUUUUACUUUUUAGAUGUAUAACAAUUGCUUUAAUGUGAUUUCAGAGUUUUGUUGGUAAUUGUGUUUCUAUUCAAGGGAAAAACUUAACACUGGAUCUUUCCUGCUCCUCAACAUACCCUUCUGUGUUGAUGGUUUAUUAUGACUAAUCUGGAUGUAAAAUACAUGAAUAUAUAUAUAUGUACGUAUAUUGACAACUGUGUACUCCAGUAGGUAGAUUCACGUUUAAUUCCCAGAUUGGGUCGUAUGGGUUGCUUCCUUCAGUAAUUCUCUCUUACUUUUCUUUUAUAAAGUGUCUGCCUUUGAGCUGAAGCACAUAUCACCUUUAAAGGAAAAAGAUAGCCAGCACAUACUGUAGCAAUGGCUUCUGCUUUCUAAUGGGUUUUAAUAUUCUGAGUUCUCCUAGCACUCAAGUUAACUAUUCUAUUGUAACUGACAUUGUUCACUUGUUGGAUUGCCUAUGCCUCUAAGUUCAUCCUAAAUACAGUAACAAAGCAUGAAUAUUAAUCUGUUGGAAAACACAGCAGAUUUUUUGUUUAAUGUAUACAAUGUCUAAAACAUUUUAUAUACUUGUUUCUGGCUUUUAACAUUUUUAUAGUACCCCAUUGUUCUUGGUGGCAACAAUAUCUAUUUUUGUGCCCAUUUUUGGAAACCAAGUGCUGUUUUUUGAAACGUUACAAUUAUUUCUACAGUUCUUGUAUCAAUGUGAAAGUCACCGUUAAUUUUAUUGUCUUUUUUUAAUUCAGUUUUGAGCCUGUAGCUGUAAGCUUUUAAUGUAUUAAAAUGUGUCAGGGGUGAAGCCAAGCUAGACAUCCAAUGCUCUAUGCCAAUCAAUGAAAUGAGGAAGCCACAAAUAUAAGCUAUAACUCUUUUACUUGAAUUUGUCUUUAAGCACAGUCAAAGGGGAAACUAAUUUGUAAGGCACACAAACGUGUUCUUGCAGGAGACCAUAUUACAUGCUUUAUCAAGGAAACUUCUUUCAAGUAACGUUGAGAAGAAACCUUAGCUCUGUGUGCUUGUAACCACUGGUGUUUAUUUACCCACUUUGAUUUACCUUACAUGACAUCUGCUUCCAGUGUGAAUUAAUGACAUUAUAAUGAAACAGUAGUUAGCACUGCUGCCUUGCAGAGCUAGGGAAUUAGGUCUCACUAGGUAACUGUCUGCCUUUGUAUGUUCUUGUGUUUGCUUUGCUUUCUGCUAGGCACUUCAGUUUCUUCCUGCAGUCCAAAAAUAUGGUGGUAGUUUAACUGGCUUCUUUUGAAACUGUCCCUGUGUGUAUAUUGCUUGCCUGUGAUAGAUUAGUUAGCUGUACUUGGUUAGUGAAUUAUGUAGAUGACUAAGCAUUGUUUCCAUGCACCAAAACAUCAGAUCAAUAUAGAUAAUGUAAUACUCAUAAUAUGUUUUCUGAAUUAGAUGCUUGGGUAGCAGAUUUAUUCUAGGUAGCAGUAUUAUGCACAAGAAGUGCAUAUGCUGAGAUUAUGCAUUAUCAAUUAAAAUGUUAACAUAACACCCAAACUUAAAAUACUUAAGGUACAUACAAUCUUCUCUUUAGAAUGAUCACACAAAAAAAACGUCCCACACAGAAUUUUUCAGAAACAUAGUGUGUGUGUUGAUCCUUACAUAUUUAAAGUUUCUUCAUCUAUUCAACAAGUCAAUAGAAGUCUUAAAUAGAAGACUCUUUAUCUGGGUCUCGGUAAUGGUUUCCACAUCCAGAAUUAGAUGACAACUACAAUUGUUAUUUUCUUUGUUGAUUUUUACUUGGCACAAUAUUGGAAUUUAUAAAAUAUCCAAUUUUUCUAAAUUAUUGUCUAAAUUAUUUAGACAUUCUUAUAUUGUCUCAUAUCCAGUGUAGUGGGUAAGGUUCAUGUUUGGCUUCUCCCCUGCUCUAUACUGUAUAUACCCUGUAUAGUUACAUUGUAUGAAUUACCUAGCUUGUUUGAUAUAAGAGAAGUAUGUAUUGGGUACAUUUUGCUAGCCUGGUUGUUUAAUCUUAAAAAUAAAACAAAAAAACUUGUUUGAAAAUGCAGGAUCUGGUUCUGUCAUAGAUCAAUUUAAGGACAAAAAAAAGUUAGAUUUGAGUGUCUUUGGAAAGAAACAUGAUGCUGAGAUUUUUUCAUUAAAAUAUAUUACUGUU